UAAUAUUCUUUGAUCUCAUAGUUAAAUUACAAACUAGUGAUAUUAUUAUUGGUUACUGAUAUUAGCUUUGGUCGAGAUGGUUAUUAAUAUUAGCAAUUGAAACUGAAUUGAGUUGUGUAGUAAUUUAGUGAUAUUCGUUUUGGUCAAAUGAGCUUUUAAUGUUAAUUUUGUUGUUUGUUGUGCAAGGAUGGGUGAUGUGCAUUCAUUACCGAAAACACUCUCUCUCAGAAACGGAUGCAACAUCAACAAAGCAUUCAUUACAGAACACACUCUUCCAUUUCACAGUUGGCAAGAGGUGAAGCGAGAAGACCCUGUUAGUCAAGUUGUGUUUCCAUGUGACAGAAGAAGCCAAGAAGAAACAGUUGGCUGGCCAUGUGAAGAAGAAGACAAACGCCUGUUUCCAUGUGAGAGAAGAAGCCAAGCAGAAACAGUUGUGUCUCCAUGUGACAAACGCCAGUUCGCAACUUGUGUUUCAUAGUUUUUUUUUAUAAAUAUUGCCAUUACGCUUCCUGAUUGUAAACAAACAGAAACGCUUGUCUGUCUUUAAAAACCUCUUGUUGUAAACCCUUUGCCAUUUCUCUUCCAAUACCAAAAUUUACAAACCGUUUGCUUUACCA